rnacentral:lncRNA from 1 species
GUCUUCUUAGUGCCUUUUCAGCCACAUAAAAUCAUAGGGAAUUUAUCUUCAUGGUUACAGGAAUUGGGAGGUUUUUAAAUGCCUGUGCACGAGCAUAAGUGUGUGUGUGUGUGUGUGUGUGUGUGAGACACAGAGGGAGGGAGGGACAGUGUUGUUUCCCGGAGGGUUACAGACCCCUUGACACUUUUCUGGAACAGCAUUAACUUGCCUUGAGCAUCUUCCUGGAUCUUACUGGUGCUGAGAAGACAGACCCAUACAUGGAAUAGCCCAGAAGCUUCAAGGAUUCAGUUUCAAACUGCCCCCAUGGUCAGUGUGAAAAUAGUAUCUUCUGUGGUCCUGGGUUAUCUGAUAGGCAGUUUACAAAGGAAAACUGUCUCCGGCAGAGGGUAGAUGUUACACUGUGCAGAAUAUACCGUCCACAAUGUGUAGUGAUGGCAGUGAUGGCAAAAGCAGCAUGACUGCACCCUGAGAAAACUCAGAGGCCUUUAUGCCAACUUGUGACUCAAGAAAUGGACCAUUUGGCUCAGCGACAGAAGAGCAAUUUGGGAAAUCAUUUGAUUUGCCUAUCACAGUCCAAAUACACUCCGGGUUCUUCAGCCGAACUUACAAAACGCUCCCUGACCUCCCCUCUCUCUGCCUCCUCUUCCUCGUCUCUUUCCACAGCUCCACGUUGCUCCCUGGACUUUGGGUUUCCUUGCGACUGGCUCUCGCCCUCCUCCGUUAAUAGAGCGUUGCAUUUUGCUAGACCAGGCUUUCUUUAUUUCUGGGAUGAUUCUUCCUCAGCCUUAAGGAAUUACCUCUUCCAGGAAGCCUUUUCUAAGUAUAGCAGGUGCCUUUGCUUCCGCGUCAUAGUUCUUAUCACACUCCGCUCUCUGCCACCGUCAAUUCUACUUCAGGAAGGAAAGCGGAGUGUGGGCAAAUCAGCUCCAGACAUCCUAGGCCUUCUGAUAAACAAAUAUCAGCAUUUUUGA